GACCAAGACAAUAAUUUAGAAGGCAAGCUUAUCUUUUGUUUUGAAGUUAUUCUCUCCACCUACUGCAGUUGGACCUCUUCCUGCAGUUCCUAUUGUAGUAGUUGGAGUUAAAUACAUUAAAUUAAACGCCGAAUUUGCAUUUCCAUACAGUUACAACUGUCGUACAGUUGCAACUAUAUACAACCAUACUGUUCCUUAAUUUGGUGAAAAGUAGCAAUGCUCAUAUCAGUCCA
rnacentral:lncRNA from 1 species